rnacentral:other from 1 species
AUUCCCCUGCCUUGUUGGUGCUAGACAGUUAGUUUCGAGCCAACAUUGGCAUCAAGGGUGACUCCGCUGGUUAUGGAAAGGAAUUCGCGCAAUCGAAAUUCCUUGAAGCAACUAUGAGUUUCAACACCCACCUAACACUGUUAGGUUCGAUGUCGCUGUUCACACGGCAAUGGCGGGGGAGUU